AGGAGGUACAUUAGGAAAGGGGGGGCGGUAGUCACAAUUCCAGUCAUUGUUGCACUUUUCCUCAAGGUAAUACAACAUUGUACAAUACAGUGAGUUACAAUACAAUGGUUGCAGUUUCCCCGUUUAGUUACGGUAUCCAGUUAUAUAGCUCCUGACAUGUGGGCCCCUGUCUGUUGUGUUCCUGCUCUACUCGUAGUCGGCAGUGUGUUGGGUUCUGUUUUACAUAUCCCAUUUGUCACAUGUCUUCUUUUCCCUUAACCUCUUAGCCUCCAGUCCCACUCUGGUUCCCUCUAACUAAUGGUAUUGUUCCCAUCUUGUGUUCCAUAAUCUGGGGUGCCCCUUCUCCAUUUACGCCACCUUUCCCAUGUUUCCUGGUGGUGGUGUUUUUCUGGGUAUGCCAUUAUAUACCAUGUUUCGUAGAUUAAUUGCUUAUCUAUGUCUUGAACAAGGGUGGGAACUGUGGGGGGCUGUGGGUUUUUCCAGUUUCUUGCUAUCAGUUUUUGUGCAGUUAGUAAGAUAUGGCACAUUAAUUUUCUUAACGGUGUGGGUAUAUGGUUAGGGAAAUCUAG